GCGGGAGUAGCUCAGUUGAUAGAGCGACGCCUUGCCAAGGCGUAGGUCGCGGGUUUGAGUCCCGUCUCCCGCUCCA
rnacentral:tRNA from 1 species